rnacentral:rRNA from 1 species
UACGUAGGGUGCGAGCGUUGUCCGGAAUUACUGGGCGUAAAGAGCUUGUAGGUGGUUUGUCGCGUUGUUCGUGAAAUCUCACGGCUCAACUGUGAGCGUGCGGGCGAUACGGGCAGACUAGAGUACUGCAGGGGAGACUGGAAUUCCUGGUGUAGCGGUGGAAUGCGCAGAUAUCAGGAGGAACACCGGUGGCGAAGGCGGGUCUCUGGGCCGUAACUGACGCUGAGGAGCGAAAGCGUGGGGAGCGAACAGG